CUCUGCUCAGCUGUGGGGCACAGAAUUCAGGACCAGGAAUGACCUGCACCAUGUCCUGGUCCCCUCUCCUCCUCACACUCCUUGCUCACUGCACAGGUUCCUGGGCCCAGUCUGGGCUGACUCAGCCACCCUCCAUGACUGGGUCCCUGGGCCAGAGGGUCACCAUCUCCUUCACUGGAAGCAGCUCCAACAUCGGUGGUAAUUAUGUGAGCUGGUUCCAACAGCUCCCAGGAACCGCCCCCAGAGCCGUCAUCUAUAGUAGUAACUACCGACCAUCAGAGAUCCCAGAUCGAUUUUCUGGCUCAAAGUCUGGCAGCUCAGCCACCCUGACCAUCACUGGGCUCCAGGCUGAGGAUGAGGUGGAUUAUUACUGUGCAUCGUGGGUGACAAUCUCAGUGCUCACACAGUCCUCCAGGCCUGAGGGGAAGUAA